GAAAUUCAUGAGCGCUAACUUGAGCUGGCAGAAAGAAUUUCUGCGACGUCAGAUCCACAAGAAGAACAUAUAAGUGUACCUGGCCUGUAGCUUUCUGACAGUUUCCUCAUCCUGCCUGGCCUGUCUUUCCUCCUCCAGUGCAUCCUCUAAGCGGUGGUACAUAUUCUCCAGCUCACGCACGCGCUGCAGAUAUCCUGCAGCUCGUUCUGUGUCUGCAGACGUCUGCGUUCCUCUUCUGCUGCGUUGGCUGCGGCCUCCUCCAGUUUCUGUGCAACAAAGACACAUCACAUUAAAUAUUUAUUGCAUGUUGUUCAACUCGUUGUUCAACUUGUCUGAAAACGUGAGCCACUGUGAAUGAACUUCUCUCAUAGCCCUAUCAUAUGCCUUCUGAAGACAUAGAUGAUACAUGAGUCUUACAGACUACUUUUAUGAUACUUUUGGGUCAUUUUUAAAGCUUUAAAGUGAGCCACUACAUUGCCAUUGUAUUAAAUAGAGGGACAGUGAUAUUCAUUAAAGCAUCUCCUGUGUUCUGCAUAAGAAAAAAAGUCAUAUGUGUUUGAAACAACAUGAGUGAGUAAAAGUAGUCAGAAUAUUAAUUUUUUGGAUAAACUAUCCACUGUUUUCCAGAGCAACCAAUGGGCGGCACCAUGAUGAUUCUAAUUGCCUGUUUUUUGUUUCUGGUCUCCAGACGCGAUAUAAAAACUACCAAAACGAGCGCUCCAGAUGGAGAACGACAAACAUUCAAGGUUUUUUUUUUUAGGAGAAAAAUUUAUUUUCAGGCUCAACUUGUGCUGUCAUAACAACUCAAAGUAGUUAAUGAUAUCAAUGUUACUAAGCUCAGACAUCACACUUCAUGACAUCUACACACUCAGGUGAGGUACUGUCAAUAAAAACAGUUAUCUCGACACUGAAGUAUCGGCACUAUACUUUGUCAACUUUUACAAAUGUAAUACCAUAAACAUCAUAUGAUAUGCUAAGAAUACAUAGCGAUGCGAGUCCACUGCAACCGGAAAUAGAAAACAGUCGAAUCGUGGAACACUUCCACGUUCAUGAAAAAGCUGGUUUCCUUUUAACUUUUCUUAAUUGCAAAGAAAACUUGAAAUGGUAAUAAUGUAAUGGCAUAUCAUUUUUAACCAGAUUUAGAAUUAUGAAAGUAUGUUAUAUUUUUUAAAUACCACAUUGAAGAUAACUGUGCCCAAAUGUGGGCAUUUAUUGUCAGUUCCAAAACCAGCCGACAGCCUUGUCAAUUGAUUAUGCACAUUUUCUGUUUUGAAAAUGUAACUGCAUUUUCAAAAUCAUGAGUGUUCAUUUAAAUUCAGCAAUUUUGUGAACAUCUUAUUUGCUAUGAUUAAAUUCUUAUAUAUGUAUCAGCCCAACCUGCUCUCUAGACAUCAGAAUCAGCCAUUGAAAAACCCAAUAUUGGUCAACCAAAAGAAGUUAAACCAGUUUUCCUCAUUGAAUCAUAAAACCACAAAACAGAUUUUAUAUUGCAAUUAUGGGCAGUACCAUCUCGAUUAGGGACAGUGAAAGUGUAACAAACCCACACCUUUUCAACAAACUUUUCAACAAACAGGGCCUCUUAGCAAACCCAUCUCCAAAAAAUCAACAACACUACAAAGCCACGACACAGACACAAAAUGAACAUCCACCACUAUUGUAACGCUUUACUAUUGUAAAGAAAAAAAAGGAUUUAAUUGCCCAAACAGCCCAAAGUUGAAAAAAAAAAAAAAUCAGUACAAUUUCAAUUUUACAGCUGUUAACAAAUGAAUCAUAUCCUCUGUUAACACAGCUGACCACAUUCUCACCCCUAAAUCACUUCUAUUUAGCUGUGGUCAGAUGAUCACCCCAAUAAAUAACGGGUCAGCAUUGCAGGUCAGUGUGAGAUCCCAGGUGGUCGAGCUGAGUGACAGGGCAGAUAUUGUUUCAAUAUAAACUCCUCAGGUUUUGGAACAACCCUCACUAGCUCUCUCCUCAGGCACCCAUUGUCCUUCUCUUUAUUGGAGGACAGGGGGAGAGGCACUGUCCCAUCAAUAGUGGACUGUUCUCCAUACAGACAACAACUCACAUACAACUGGAAUGGACAAUGAACAUUUGUUAUUGUAUAAAAUGGCUGUUCCCAGUUAACACUGUUUGUACUGUUUCAGACUAGUGUUCUAUCAGUUUAAUGAUAUAUUUUGUUGUGUGUAUGUAGUGUUUAUCAGAUGCUAGGGUUUAAACCUUGGAAAAAGUAUAUAUUUUAAUGCAUCUGAGCUUCUGUGCUGUUUAUAGCUGUAAUUAUGUUGCUGAAUCUUUUAAACCUCAUGUGUAAAAAAACAUGAAUGUCAAUUAAUUUUCACAUACUAAGAAUUUCUGAUUGGUGUACACAUUUUAAAAGUACACUCCUGCCAGUUGUUAAUUUAACUUCAUUUGUUAAGGUGUAUAUUUAUACAGUGUGCUUUGCUGGGGCCAAAUUGACCCCAAACAGAAGCAAUAUUACUGUUCUAGAUAACAAUCACAUUUCUAAAGGAGUAAUGCCUACUUUGUGGUAAAAAAAAGAGGCUUUAAACUAUGAUAGCAUAUCGCUACUUAUGCUUUUAUUAGGCCAGACAAACAUUUAAAAAACAAUUUGAAGUGAAAAUAAGAUGCCUUACUUUUUAAAACAUUCACAAAGUGAAUUUCAACAGAGCAUGAGGGUUUAAGACAGCUAGUCAUCAAAUAAUGUCUUUCAGUUAUUAUUUAAUAUUUGUACUUAAAUUAUGUAUUUUGGGAUUGCUUAAAUGAAUAUUCCAUGUUCAAUGCAAGUUAAGCUCAGUCGACAGCAUGUGUGGCAUAAUGUUGAUCACCACAAAAAUGUAUUUCAACUCAUCCCUCCUUUUCUUAAAAAACAAAAACAAAUCUGUGAGACUCUUAAAAUGGAAGUGAAUAGGAAAUAUUUUUAGGGUUUAAAGGCAGAAAUGUGACGAAUAUUCCUUUAAAUUAUUUGUCUACAUCUAGUAAUUAAUGUCCAUUGACUCUAUACUACACAACAUUUGAGUGCAUUUUCUUGAAAUUAAAAGCUUGUCUUGUUUGGUUAGCCAUUGUGCUAAAGUUGUAACAUGGUUACAAGAUUUAAAUCCACUUACUGCUAACAAAACUCAUUGGGGAUAAGUCUGGCUAAACCCCGAUUUAACAAUAUUAAAUCAUUCAACCGGAAAAGACAAGCAGGAUAACGAGAAAUUAGAAGAAAGAAGGAUAAGAAGGGUUAAAUGUGAAACCACCAUUCCUCUAAACACCCAACCCCCCCAACACUCACACACUUACCUCUCUGCCCAUUCCACAUCUCUCUAUUGAGUGUGAAACCAUACACAAAAGCUAAUCGGGCCUUCACUAUCAGUAUUGGCCACAUAGCAUGAAGCAACUUUUGUAGAAAGGUUUCUGUAGAGGUCAUGAAUAGGGAGGGCGGUACUUGAAAGCAAAGCUUAGGGUUUCAGUCAAAUUAAAAUUCUUGAAUAGCCAAGAGAGAUGACAAAGAACCACCAUUCAGGGUUCCUGGGGAAACAUUGUCACAUGAAUGGUAAGUGUGGCAACAGACAGUUCCUGUUUCACUUAUCAGGAUGUUAAAAUGCAAAGCACAGAGGGAUAUGUUUAUAGGGUUGUUGACAUUAUUUUCACUAUACACAGAUUUUAAUUUGAGUUUUUUCACAACCAAAAGUCUGCUUUAGCAGUCAAAACCCCCUGUAUUGUUUAUACAAUACAAGCAAAGUUGUGAAACAUCAGUAUAAGAGUUUAAGUCACAAGGUACCAGUCAAAAGUUUAAACACUUUUUCCAUUCUUCUAUUUGUGUUAUUUCAUAGUUUUGAUAACUUUACUAUUAUUCUAAAAUGAAAAAAACGAAUUGGCCCGGUUUCUAGGGAGGGUAGAGUCACAUGGGUAACCUCCUCUUGGUCACGAUUAGUGGUUCUUGCUCUCAACGGAGCGCGUGGUAAAUUGUGCGUGGAUCGCGGAGAAUAGCAUGAGCCUCCACAUGCUCUGAGUCUCUACGUGUCAUGCACAGUGAGCCACGUGAUAAGAUUGACUCUCUCAGAAGCGGAGGCAACAGACUUGUCCUCCGCCACCAGGAUUGAGGUGAGUACCGGUAACUGCGCCAACUUGAGGACCUACUAAGUAGUGGGAAUUUGGAAUUCCAAAUUGGGGAGAAAAUUGGAUAAAAAUAAUAAAUAAAACAUAAAAAGAAAGUUAAAGGGCAGAGAAAAAGCAUGGACAUGUUUAUUCAAGUUGAUAGAAAAACAGUGAGUGUAGAAGGUCAGGUGUU